rnacentral:tRNA from 1 species
ACCUGGGUGGCUCAGCGGUUGAGCUUCUGCCUUUGAAUCAGGUUGUGAUGGGAUCGAAUCCUACAUUAGGUU